AAUAAAUGAAAAACUGGAUGAAACAAAAAAGCUCAGACCAAUAAUGGCAAUGGAAAAGGCAUGAAUCCGUCCACGUGGGUUAAAAAGCUAAAAUUGAACGAUUUAAGAGUGAUGGAAAAGGCACAAAUCCGUAAAACCUUGAAUAAAAAGAUUUACACAUCAGGUUCCUAACUUUUGAAUUCUUGAAACUACAGACAACUUUCCUUGAAGAUUUCCUUAUUAAAUUAUGGAGUUUGGAUUACUUAGAACUAUCUUUAAAGAUGGUCAACUACGGAGAACAUAGAACAAUAACUCCUUUAAAUUUGAAAACAAGUUGCAUGAAUUUCCCCCCUAACUUGGCUUAAACUAACUUAAUAGGUACAGUACCAUCCAA
rnacentral:sRNA from 1 species